rnacentral:tRNA from 1 species
UGCGGGGUCAUCUAGCGGCAGGAUGCGUGCCUCUGGAGCACGUCACGAAGGUUCGAAUCCUUCCCCCGCAG